GGACGCAAGUCUGGUGGAGCAACGCCGCGUGAGUGAAGAAGGCUUUCGGGUCGUAAAACUCUGUUGUUGGAGAAGAAUGGUCGGCAGAGUAACUGUUGUCGGCGUGGCGGUAUCCAACCAGAAAGCCACGGCUAACUACGUGCCAGCAGCCGCGGUAAUACGUAGGUGGCAAGCGUUAUCCGGAUUUAUUGGGCGUAAAGCGAGCGCAGGCGGUUUUUUAAGUCUGAUGUGAAAGCCCUCGGCUUAACCGAGGAAGUGCAUCGGAAACUGGGAAACUUGAGUGCAGAAGAGGACAGUGGAACUCCAUGUGUAGCGGUGAAAUGCGUAGAUAUAUGGAAGAACUCCAGUGGCGAAGGCGGCUGUCUGGUCUGUAACUGACGCUGAGGCUCGAAAGCAUGGGUAGCGAACAGGAUUAGAUACCCUGGUAGUCCAUGCCGUAAACGAUGAGUGCUAAGUGUGGGAGGGUUUCCGCCCUUCAGUGCUGCAGCUAACGCAUUAAGCACUCCGCCUGGGGAGUACGACCGCAAGGUUGAAACUCAAAGGAAUUGACGGGGGCCCGCACAAGCGGUGGAGCAUGUGGUUUAAUUCGAUGCUACGCGAAGAACCUUACCAGGUCUUGACAUCUU
rnacentral:rRNA from 2 species